rnacentral:antisense_RNA from 1 species
CUGUGGGUCCCACCACCCCCGGGCUCGGCGCCAGGGCGGAAGGUCCGGGGGUGCCGUUCAGGCCACGUCCACGCGAGCGAAGCUCUGGUCCAUGCCCAGGCUGUUCUCUACGUACACCUCGUACUUGCCGCUGUCCUGGGGCGUGGCCCGGCGAAUGGUCAGCGUCGUGGUGGUGCUGCCGAUCUCGAAGAACACCCUGCGGAGGGGCGGCGGGGAGCAGGGCGGGGCCGUGGUCAGUACACGGGCGCACUGGGCCGGGCUCCUUAGCCAGCUCUGUUCCUCGCCGCCCAGUCCCCGCCCCCGUCACUCCAGCCAGAUUUCUGGGCGCAGUCCCACCCAGGUUCCAGCCCCAGGCCCUGCCCGUGCAGCAGGUCCCGGCCCUCGCCUGUCAUCCUCCUCGAUGUCCUCCCCGUCCUUGGUCCAGCCCACGUCGGGCGCAGGCUCUCCCAGGAUCUCCGCAGUCAGCGUCACGGUGGUGCCUUUGCGUGCCUUAGUGUUGUCGGGUCCCUUUUGAAUCUUCGCCGGGACUAGCGGAAGGAAAGGGGAGCGAAACCCCGUGAAGGACCCGGAGAUGAGGCAGGGCAUCACCUCACCAGCUAAUACCCAGCGCUAAAUACAGAUGCAUUUAAACUCGCA